ACGGGCAUAUCUCUGUCAGUAAAUGCAGAGAAGGCUUCAUCCAAAUGCAAAGCAGUGGAGACGACUUAGCGUUAGCGGCAACCUAUGUCAGAGCUCACCCAGUUGAAAGAGAGAGAUAGCGAAGGAAUCUUGGCUCGGCUCGUAGAGUACACGGAUGGCUGGAGCACGAAGUGCAAGACGCCCUGGGUCAGAGAGUUGCGGCUUCGGAUUGGGGAUCUGUCGAAGCCUUCGGGCUGGAUUCCGGGGCUCAGGGGGAGACAGUUCACGGUCGUGGGGUGGUAUAUCGAGACGGAGAGUUGGAAGAGUGGUGAACUGUUCCCCUGCUGCUUCUGGAUCGUGUGCUCUGAUCAACAGACGACUUUCUCUAAGUGAGGUACUGUACCUACAGGAAACAAAGAAAAUGAUCCAGGAAGAGCCAAACAUAACAAAGACUGACAAGCAUCCAGUAUGAAAAAGAGGACAAAUGAUGCAAAUAAAAAAGUAAAGUAAUAAUACCGAGAGCGUGGGCUGCAGAGUCCCCGAAAGUGAGUCCAAAUGCUGAGUCAGUUCAGCGCCGAGGCGAGCUCAGCCGCCCCAGAAAGCCGAUCUGCUCCCGACCGUAGCGGCGAGAAUCCAAGACCCCUGCCCAAUGGUUAUAGCGGGAAGAGAGGGAAACAGGUCAAACGCAGUCAGAUGGGACGGCCUUUUCCACUCUCGGGUUUCGACGCUUUGAUUUGGCUUGAUAUCUGCCCUAGCCGUCUCUUCAACCUCUCUUUCGGCAAUGAUAGCUCCACUGCCCCCGCGGUGCGUUUGCAUUCAAAGCUAGACAGGGAGUUAAAUACCUUAUGAAAUAUCACCCGAGCCGGAAGC